GAUUGGUGCCUUCGGGAACUCUGAGACAGGUGCUGCAUGGCUGUCGUCAGCUCGUGUUGUGAAAUGUUGGGUUAAGUCCCGCAACGAGCGCAACCCUUAUCCUUUGUUGCCAGCGGUUCGGCCGGGAACUCAAAGGAGACUGCCAGUGAUAAACUGGAGGAAGGUGGGGAUGACGUCAAGUCAUCAUGGCCCUUACGAGUAGGGCUACACACGUGCUACAAUGGCGCAUACAAAGAGAAGCGACCUCGCGAGAGCAAGCGGACCUCAUAAAGUGCGUCGUAGUCCGGAUUGGAGUCUGCAACUCGACUCCAUGAAGUCGGAAUCGCUAGUAAUCGUAGAUCAGAAUGCUACGGUGAAUACGUUC
rnacentral:rRNA from 1 species